UAUGGCCUGUUGUAAAGAAUGAAGCUUGUGUACAUGAUUCCUAUCUCUGCAGUUCCUAUCCUGCCCCUAACAAUAGACCUUGGCCCACACAGAGAAAGAAUGAGACUGGAAACUUUGUUGGAUCUAUUGGUGAUAUGCAGAUAUCACAAACUUGUCCAGAGAAUUGUAGACCAAAAGAUCAUUUGGACUGGACAACUUGCUGAUCAAGAUCAUUUCAUCUAGACACCUUGCUGAUCAAGAUCAUUUCAUCUGGACAACUUGCUGAUCAAGAUAAUUUCAUCUAGACAACUUGCUGAUCAGGAUCAUUUCAUGUAGACAACUUGCUGAUCAAGAUAAUUUCAUCUAGACAACUUGAUGAUCAAGAUCAUUUCAUCAAGACAACUUGCUGAUCGAGAUCAUUUCAUCUGGACAACUUGUUGAUCAAGAUAAUUUCAUCUAGACAACUUGCUGAUCAAGAUAAUUUCAUCUAGACAACUUGCUGAUCGAGAUCAUUUUAUGUAGACAACUUGUUGAUCAAGAUAAUUUCAUCUAGACAACUUGCUGAUCAAGAUAAUUUCAUGUAGACAACUUGAUGAUCAAGAUCAUUUCAUGUAGACAACUUGCUGAUCAAGAUAAUUUCAUCUAGACAACUUGAUGAUCAAGAUCAUUUCAUGUAGACAACUUGUUGAUCGAGAUCAUUUCAUCUGGCCAUCUUGCUGAUCAAGAUAAUUUCAUCUAGACAACUUGCUGAUCAAGAUAAUUUCAUCUAGACAACUUGAUGAUCAAGAUAAUUUCAUCUAGACAACUUGAUGAUCAAGAUCAUUUCAUGUAUACAACUUGCUGAUCAAGAUAAUUUCAUCUAGACAACUUGAUGAUCGAGAUCAUUUUAUCUGGACAACUUGAUGAUCGAGAUCAUUUCAUGUAAACAACUUGCUGAUCAAGAUAAUUUCAUCUAGACAACUUGAUGAUCAAGAUCAUUUCAUGUAGACAACUUGCUGAUCAAGAUAAUUUCAUCUAGACAACUUGAUGAUCAAGAUCAUUUCAUCUAAACAACUUACUUAUCAAAAUCAUUCCCAGUGGACAACUUGUUGAUCACAAUAUCUGAUCAAGAUCAUUUUAUCUAGACAACCUUCUGAUCAAACGCAUAUAAACUGGAAACCCUUCUGAUCAAACGCAUAUAAACUGGAAACCCUUCUGAUCAAACGCAUAUAAACUGGAAACCCUUCUGAUCAAAAUCAUUUCAUCUCAACAACCUACGGAUCAAAACCAUUCCUACUGGACAAUUUGAUGAUCAAAAUCAUUUCAACUGAACAUGCCAUAUUCUGGACAGCUUAGGCAUUUGCACACCUGACCACAAAGUAAAAUGGUGCCUCAUUUAUGCAUAGUAUACAUACAAGCACUAGAUAACCCUGUAGUGCUUGUGAAUCCCA